CAAUAGCGUAUAUUAAAGUUGUUGCGGUUAAAAAGCUCGUAGUUGGAUUUCUGCUGAGAACGACCGGUCCGCCCUCUGGGUGUGUAUCUGGCUCUUUCUUGGCAUCUUCUUGGUGAACGUUGCUGCACUUGACUGUGUGGAGCGCUACCCAGGACUUUUACUUUGAGGAAAUUAGAGUGUUUCAAGCAGGCACACGCCUUGAAUACAUUAGCAUGGAAUAAUAAGAUAGGACCUCGGUUCUAUUUUGUUGGUUUCUAGAGCUGAGGUAAUGAUUAAUAGGGAUAGUUGGGGGCAUUCGUAUUUAACUGUCAGAGGCGAAAUUCUUGGAUUUGUUAAAGACGGACUACUGCGAAAGCAUUUGCCAAGGAUGUUUUCAUUG
rnacentral:rRNA from 1 species